AUUCAGCUCUUUGAUCCCAUUUUUCUCUGCUAAAGAUCCCGCACGGAGCCCCCUUUAUAGGAUCGGAAUUUGCGAAGGUCUGCAAAGGAAGUGACAGGAUUCCUUGGUGUCUUGGUGCAGUUUGAGUUGCUGGCCUCAAAAGCAAGGAGAAUCUUAGCAAGACAAGGCCUCUGUCAAAGGACAGACAUUAUUGCUGCCAGCACCUGGUGGAACUUCUACAAUCAGUUCUGGGAUUUAUUAAAAAAGCUUCC